AUUGAACGCUGGCGGCAGGCCUAACACAUGCAAGUCGAGCGGAUGAGUGGAGCUUGCUCCAUGAUUCAGCGGCGGACGGGUGAGUAAUGCCUAGGAAUCUGCCUGGUAGUGGGGGACAACGUUUCGAAAGGAACGCUAAUACCGCAUACGUCCUACGGGAGAAAGUGGGGGAUCUUCGGACCUCACGCUAUCAGAUGAGCCUAGGUCGGAUUAGCUAGUUGGUGAGGUAAAGGCUCACCAAGGCGACGAUCCGUAACUGGUCUGAGAGGAUGAUCAGUCACACUGGAACUGAGACACGGUCCAGACUCCUACGGGAGGCAGCAGUGGGGAAUAUUGGACAAUGGGCGAAAGCCUGAUCCAGCCAUGCCGCGUGUGUGAAGAAGGUCUUCGGAUUGUAAAGCACUUUAAGUUGGGAGGAAGGGCAGUAAGUUAAUACCUUGCUGUUUUGACGUUACCAACAGAAUAAGCACCGGCUAACUUCGUGCCAGCAGCCGCGGUAAUACGAAGGGUGCAAGCGUUAAUCGGAAUUACUGGGCGUAAAGCGCGCGUAGGUGGUUCGUUAAGUUGGAUGUGAAAGCCCCGGGCUCAACCUGGGAACUGCAUCCAAAACUGGCGAGCUAGAGUAUGGCAGANGGUGGUGGAAUUUCCUGUGUAGCGGUGAAAUGCGUAGAUAUAGGAAGGAACACCAGUGGCGANNGCGACCACCUGGGCUAAUACUGACACUGAGGUGCGAAAGCGUGGGGAGCAAACAGGAUUAGAUACCCNGGUAGUCCACGCCGUAAAC
rnacentral:rRNA from 1 species